GCUUUGGAAGGAAAUCAAGCUGAUUCCAUCUGGAUCCACCCUAUUGUGGAAGUCAGCCAGGAGACAUGGAAGCGUGGCACAAGAUAACGUCCAGGGGUGUGGUUAAGGUCCAUAAAAUCACUACGGGAGAAACAUUUGGAGCAGAAAAGCAGCUGCUGAAACAAAUGACAGAUGGGCUACAUGUGAAGUUCACAAGCCCAGAGGAGAGUGAUGUCAUCAUUGUCUUCUGUCCAAUCAGUUCUUGUGGGUCAGAUGUGGAUGCAGCCAUGAGGGAG